AUUGAACGCUGGCGGCAGGCCUAACACAUGCAAGUCGAACGAGGGGCAGACGGGUGAGAAAUGUCUGGGAAACUGCCCGAUGGGGGGGGAUAACUACUGGAAACGAGAGCUAAUACCGCAUACCAUCAGAUGUGCCCAUAUGAGAUUCGCUAGUAGGUGGGGUAACGGCUCACCUAGGCGACGAUCCCUAGCUGGUCUGAGAGGAUGACCAGCCACACUGGGACUGAGACACGGCCCAGACUCCUACGGGAGGCAGCAGUGGGGAAUAUUGCACAAUGGGCGCAAGCCUGAUGCAGCCAUGCCGCGUGUAUGAAGAAGGCCUUAGGGUUGUAAAGUACUUUCAGCGGGGAGGCGUUACCGGCAGAAGAAGCACCGGCUAACUCCGUGCCAGCAGCCGCGGUAAUUC
rnacentral:rRNA from 1 species